UCGGGUUCACAUUCACAGUCAACACGCCACACACAGGAGGGUCGACGCUCGGCCUCCCCCGUUCACACUCACACUCCACUCCAGCCAGCUAGGUCUCUCCACCCUCCACACCGACCUCGCCGGCGGCGGCGAUCGAUGGCCGGUGUUAACCCAGCACCAGCAGGCUGGAGCGGCGGCGACCGCGACGGCGACUGCGAGGACUGCGCCGGCGGCGACGGGAAGCAGUUCGUCAUCGUCGCCUCAGAGGGCUUCCGCGACCAAGCGGGAGUGAUGACGGUGUUGGACAUGGACAGAAACAGGUUACCGAAGAAGGACUCAACAACGAAG